GAUGAAGAACGCAGCAAAAUGCGAUAAGUAAUGUGAAUUGCAGAAUUCAGUGAAUCAUCGAAUCUUUGAACGCACAUUGCGCCCGCCAGUAUUCUGGCGGGCAUGCCUGUUCGAGCGUCAUUUCAACCCUCAAGCACAGCUUGGUGUUGGGACUCGCGUUAAUUCGCGUUCCCCAAAUUGAUUGGCGGUCACGUCGAGCUUCCAUAGCGUAGUAGUAAAACCCUCGUUACUGGUAAUCGUCGCGGCCACGCCGUUAAACCCCAACUUCUGAAUGUUGACCUCGGAUCAGGUAGGAAUACCCGCUGAACUUAAGCAUAUCAAUAAGCGGAGGAA
rnacentral:misc_RNA from 1 species